rnacentral:rRNA from 1 species
GAGGGUACCGUCAGGCCUAACGUGUAUUAUACGUUAGGAGGUUCUUCCCCUCUGACAGAGCUUUACGACCCAAGAGCCUUCAUCACUCACGCGGUAUUGCUGCGUCAGGCUUUCGCCCAUUGCGCAAAAUUCC